rnacentral:ncRNA from 1 species
AACAAGACGAAGAUCGAAACGAAGUAGUUGUUAAAGCCAAUGUUUCAGAAAGCUGGUGGUCGCUGCAAACCAGUACAUGCUUUAAAGCGAAUUACAUUUCAGGAGUCUUUGGCAGUGAUUGCCACGCGACAGCGUUAAAUGUUCGAGAGGUAUGUUGGAUAUCUAGACAUACAAAUUGGGUGGUACCGCGAGAUUUCGUCCCUUGG